AGUGAACGCUGGCGGUAGGCCUAACACAUGCAAGUCGAACGGCAGCACAGAGGAGCUUGCUCCUUGGGUGGCGAGUGGCGGACGGGUGAGGAAUACAUCGGAAUCUACUCUGUCGUGGGGGAUAACGUAGGGAAACUUACGCUAAUACCGCAUACGACCUACGGGUGAAAGCAGGGGAUCUUCGGACCUUGCGCGAUUGCAUGAGCCGAUGUCGGAUUAGCUAGUUGGCGGGGUAAAGGCCCACCAAGGCGACGAUCCGUAGCUGGUAUGAGGGGAUGAUCAGCCACACUGGAACGGAGACACGGUCCAGACUCCUACGGGAGGCAGCAGUGGGGAAUAUUGGACAAUGGGCGCAAGCCUGAUCCAGCCAUACCGCGUGGGUGAAGAAGGCCUUCGGGUUGUAAAGCCCUUUUGUUGGGAAAGAAAUCCAUCUGGUUAAUACCCGGGUGGGAUGACGGUACCCAAAGAAUAAGCACCGGCUAACUUCGUGCCAGCCGCCGCCGUAA
rnacentral:rRNA from 1 species